AGCAGCCAGAGAGGAAGGAGCUUCCUGAGCAAUGAUGUGAGACCCGCAGGUACAGCCCAAGCCGGGUAAAGGAUGAUGACCAUAAGAGCACCUCUUGCUGGAGCCAGAAGACCUCAGAACUGGGAAAAUGGAGCUGUCCUCCCACACAGAACCUAGGAGACCGGAAACCCUGCCCACCCCACUGAAGUCAGAAGACCAAGGACCCUGUACCUAGGCCUACUAAAACCUCAAGACACCAUGCCCAGCUCUACUAAAGCUAGGAGACUCCAAGCCCCCCCUCCACCAGAACUAGGAGACGGGGAAACCCUGCCCAGCUGUAAUAUUAACAGUCAGUCUUUACUUCAAAACUUGUUCAAGUACUGUGCUUAUGGACAUAAAGAUUCCUCCUUUUAAUCUACAUUAAAUUCCACAUUCUUAUCCAA